ACACCGAUGGUGAAGCGGUUAUCAUGCUUGCCUUCCACUAUAGGAAUCCAUUAUUGGUAGCAAGCGGCAGGGGUUGGACUCCCCUUCGGUGUA